GACGAACGCUGGCGGCGUGCUUAACACAUGCAAGUCGAACGAAGUGGCGAACGGGUGAGUAACGCGUAAUCAACCUGCCCUUCAGAGGGGGACAACAGUUUGAAACGACUGCUAAUACCGCAUACUGAAGGAGGGGAUUGCGUCUGAUUAGCUAGUUGGAGGGGUAAAGGCCCACCAAGGCGCUGAUCAGUAGCCGGACUGAGAGGAUGGACGGCCACAUUGGGACGCAGACACGGCCCAGACUCCUACGGGAGGAAGAAGUGGGGAAUAUUCCGCAAUGGACGAAAGUCUGACGGAGCAACGCCGCGUGAGUGAUGACGGCCUUCGGGUUGUAAAGCUCUGUUAAUCGGGACGCGGUACCGGAAUAGAAAGCCACGGCUAACUACGUGCCAGCAGCCGCGGUAAUUC
rnacentral:rRNA from 1 species